ensembl:lncRNA
AUGGAGACGGCGGGGCUGCAGCCCGCGGCGGGGUCGCAACCGGGGGCCGAGGAGAUCGACAUGUCCCUGGAUGACAUCAUAAAGCGCCACAGGAAAGAGCAGAUAGAUGCCAGUGCCUUGGGCGACAGCAGAAGGCAGCAGGUCAAGAACAGGAGUUCAGUCUCCGGAUAUGGGCGGCCCCAGUACCGAUCCUGGAAGCAGAGGAAUUUGCAAGGGCACCAAGAAGAGCAAUACUUUUGCCGAAAGCAGCAGUGGGCAGCAGGAGGAACAGCCACAGCCAUCUCCAGGCACCAAGAGAUUCAGAGCAGAUGCUGCCAGCAUCUGCACCCCAGAGAGAAGGUAAAAUCUUUGGUAACUCUGUAUUAUUUUGGUUUUCAGUGGUUUUUAGCUGUGCAACUCAUUGUAUUCCUCUGUCUGUAUAUGCCAGCUGGGUGUGGCUACAGCCAUGUGCAUGUGCAGCACCAGAAAAAUACCCCUGACUAUAUUAGGAAGGCACCUGGAAAGGAAACAACCUCACACUCAUAGUUAAUAAUGCUGAUAUUAAUCUCCGAUUUUAUUUCAGGAAGCACAGAAAAUGUGACCUUUGUAUUUUUAAUAAACUUCCUCGUUUUGGGAAACACUUUUGAAGGGUGAAAUAGCAUUUAUUUUCAUACAGGCAGGAAAUACAGAUUCCAGCCAUAAGGGAUGGGCAGAGACAGGGUGUCUGUCCCAGUGAGGGGCUGCAGGAGCAGACUGUGCUCCAGGAGCUGUGAGGAAGGCAGUGUGCCAGGUGCUGGGCAUGUCUCAGUGCCUGUCUCAUCCCAUGUGUUCUCUGAGCUUGAAAGGAAGCUCCUUGGAAUCCUUCCUCAUCUCUGAGCAGAACAGGGACUGAAUAACAUUGAGAAGUCCUUUCUGACCUGAUUUUUUUUCUAUGAUUUUCCUCACGUUUUCUG